rnacentral:rRNA from 1 species
AGAGUUUGAUCCUGGCUCAGGACGAACGCUGGCGGCGUGCCUAACACAUGCAAGUCGAACGAGAAUCUUUGAACAGAUCUUUUCGGAGUGACGUUCAAAGAGGAAAGUGGCGGACGGGCGAGUAACGCGUGAGUAACCUGCCCAUAAGAGGGGGAUAAUCCAUGGAAACGUGGACUAAUACCGCAUAUUGUAAUUAAGUUGCAUGACUUGAUUAUGAAAGAUUUAUCGCUUAUGGAUGGACUCGCGUCAGAUUAGAUAGUUGGUGAGGUAACGGCUCACCAAGUCAACGAUCUGUAGCCGAACUGAGAGGUUGAUCGGCCGCAUUGGGACUGAGACACGGCCCAGACUCCUACGGGAGGCAGCAGUGGGGAAUAUUGCGCAAUGGGGGCAACCCUGACGCAGCAACGCCGCGUGCAGGAAGAAGGUCUUCGGAUUGUAAACUGUUGUCGCAAGGGAAGAAGACAGUGACGGUACCUUGUGAGAAAGUCACGGCUAACUACGUGCCAGCAGCCGCGGUAAUACGUAGGUGACAAGCGUUGUCCGGAUUUACUGGGUGUAAAGGGCGCGUAGGCGGACUGUCAAGUCAGUCGUGAAAUACCGGGGCUUAACCCCGGGGCUGCGAUUGAAACUGACAGCCUUGAGUAUCGGAGAGGAAAGCGGAAUUCCUAGUGUAGCGGUGAAAUGCGUAGAUAUUAGGAGGAACACCAGUGGCGAAGGCGGCUUUCUGGACGACAACUGACGCUGAGGCGCGAAAGUGUGGGGAGCAAACAGGAUUAGAUACCCUGGUAGUCCACACCGUAAACGAUGAUUACUAGGUGUUGGAGGAUUGACCCCUUCAGUGCCGCAGUU